rnacentral:misc_RNA from 1 species
UAUAUAUAUAUAUACACACACACUGUAAAGGUAAUGUCACACCCCUUGAUUUGAGCAUUUUAGUAGAUGGACCUUCAGUACAUGAUGUAUCAUAACCCCUUAUUAUGUAGAUGCUAAAUCAUGGAGUAGAAACCUCAUAACAACAAAUCAUUGAAUGAGGAGAAUGAAGCAAGGAAGCCAGCAUGUAAUUUUCAGUCAAAUGCAAGUUGUGAUAACACAAUAAAAAAAAUCAUAUAGACCAAAGAAUACAAUUGCCGUUACAAUAUAACAAGGGAGACAAAAGGCUCAAACAUGACUACUGCACUGCACAUUGGACGUGCCAACGACAAGAGGAGAAAGAAGUUGCUAUCACCCCUUUGCCGAUAAACAGUAAAAGGCACACAUUGAUCAUCAGAAUCAAAUCAACAAAGUAAUAGUCAACAGAGAAUUAAGAACUCACAAUGUGAACUCUCAAUCCCAAAGUAUAAGUAAACGGAUUUGAAAAACCACAACAGGAAGGAGACUUGGAGUACAUCUCUCUGGCAAACCGUGUGGACCGUGGAAUAAUAGGUCAGACAUAAUACAUGAGAAAUUUUUUCAAAAAAAAUUAACAUACAUAAUGGCCCAGAUUGUUGUUGGCUGUUGCCUCAAGGUUAAACUGUAUAUGCUUCCUUCAGAGGAAAAUCUCAUGUUAAAAAACAAGAGAUGAUACCUGAAUAACUUGUGAAACCCCUUCUAAAAACUUUCCUGAUAAGGAUCCAACUUCAAUAAAGAAACAAUAACUAGCAAAAAGAGCUCCUAGAUCAUGAGCAUGUCAAAGUCAAAGUGACUAAUCUACAAAUCAUAAAGUAUCCUUGAGUUACAUACUAGAAAAGGUAAUUAAUACACACUUUUAAACUUGAAGACUGCAAGCUUCCAGGAUUUAAAUGCAAUAGUACCAAAUAUCAUAAGAAAGAGCAGCAGAACAGCAAAGCAAGAAGCAUACUUUACCAAGAACACAAAUCCACAUCCAUCAAAGCUUGACAUAUCCAAAGCAAAGUGUGGAAUAAGCCCAAUAUCUAGGUCAUGCUAGGUCAGUAGCCUAGAAUGAAAUAACGCAGAAGCAGCAGCAAUCUACAGCAGCAUCAAACAUGGAAAAUUCAGGCACAAAAGCAUUUCCGCCUACACUUUUCAACAAUAUCAACCUCAUUUUAGAGACUCAGACCUUCAAGAAACUAUACUGAAAUGAGAGCGUUUGCUCUAUUUUAUUUCAUAACUUUCUGGUUUAGAAAAGCCAUUGCAUUUUGGAGUUAGGUUUUUAUUUUCAGUAUUUGAUCAGCAUUACACAUUUCCGAGAAUUU